UGUUCCUACGGGAGGCAGCAGUGAGGAAUAUUGGUCAAUGGGCGAGAGCCUGAACCAGCCAAGUCGCGUGAAGGAUGACGGCCCUACGGGUUGUAAACUUCUUUUGUCAGGGAGCAAUUGGGUCCACGCGUGGGCUUAGCGAGAGUACCUGAAGAAAAAGCAUCGGCUAACUCCGUGCCAGCAGCCGCGGUAAUACGGAGGAUGCGAGCGUUAUCCGGAUUUAUUGGGUUUAAAGGGUGCGCAGGCGGCACGGCAAGCCGGCGGUCAAAUCGCGGGGCUCCACCCCGCCCAGCCGUCGGAA
rnacentral:rRNA from 1 species